GUGACGCUUGCAGCCCUGUUGAUUUUCAUAUGAGAAUAAUAACAACAUUGAAAAUAGGUGAAAUUGAAAGAAGUAAACAAAUACAAUGGAAUCUUGUCGUAUUUGCAUGGGUAACACAGAUGUCGAGGUGGAUCUGUUUACAAACCAGCCCUUGUAUCAUAUGGAAAUGACGCUGCUGGACAUGAUAAACGAGAUUGUCGAUUUGGAUAUACAGUGCGACAAACUUCCUCGAAAAAUCUGCACAACGUGCGUUUCGGAUGCUCAAGUCGCCUUCCGAUUCAAACGAAAUUGCGAGCGCAGUUACAAUGUUUUCAAAGCUCUAAUUAGAGACGAGGGCUCAAAUGAUGGAGGAGAAGCCAACAGCGAUGAUCCACACAAUCAAACAGACUUCUUGGACGAUAAGGAAUGGAAUCCAUCAUCGUAUAAUACAGACAUAAUCGUCAAAACAGAACCUAGCUUGGAGCUUUAUGUCGUCAAUGAAAUUGUAAACGAUGCACCUGACUGGGAAAAUGACUCUGUGGAAGACAAUCAAAGGCAUUUAUCGCUACAAGAUCGAAAUGUAAUUGUAAAAAUGGAGGAAGAUGCUGUGAUUAACAUUUCAGACGACGAAGAUGGGAGCAACAUCUUGAUCAGCAAUGCAGAACUGCUAGAAGUGUGGCGUAAGCAAGGGAGAUUUUGCGAGAAACGAAAUGCCAUAUACACUUUCAUAACAAAAAAUAUUGAUGACAGCGUUUUGGAAAAAAAUGUUCUUUAUUUGAACGAUAAAGCCAAAACAUUCUGUGCAAAUUUAUGACGAAAUUGGCAAAGAUGCUUUAGAAAAUUGAAUACGUUUAAAAACAGAUAUUCGAAUUGGAUGGAAGGUUACAUGACCCUUACUUUAACUAGAGAAGAAGCCAAAGGAGUGGAAACAAUAAGACGAGUGGGACGUCCAAAAAUGACAUUCAAUAUAAAAGGUCAAAGAUGGCAAGCAGCUGACCUCUCCACGGGACAAAAACAUAACGCAAGAUUACUGACUCAAGCGACAAGCAUAGCUGCUCGUAGGUGCGGGCUUGUUGAUAUUGCUGUCCUAUUAAGAUUACUUGCGUUAAACCCUGGAAAAGCCGUUACUAUGCGGAAAAUGAUAAACAAGCCCGAGGUAAAGCCUUUGCGAUCUUUGUUGGAAUUAACAAUAAAAACGGUAACCGACUUUAAACUGAGCAAGCUUGCUUUUGUCCAGCAAUUAAUCAAACUGUCACAUCUCAAGAUCGAUGAAAUUUAUUAUGUUUUCCAUACAAUUAUAUUCCAAAAAAGGUUGCAAAUUGGGAAUGAAUGCCAGGCCAUAGCCCUAUAGAAAAUUUGAUCACUUUUUCAGGACAAAAGUAAUUUUUUGAAUGUUGGCAGAUUGAAGUAAUUUUAGAAUGUAGCCUCAAUUUGCCCAACGUUGAAUUGUUUGGUAAAUGGCUAGAAGGAAUUGGGAAAAGCGAAAGGAAAGAUGCACUUUUUCAAUUUAUAAAAGCGGCUAUACCAGAAGAGGAGCAGAAUGAUAUUGUUAAAAGUACAACCAACAGAGUUUUCUCCCGCAUAAAUUCAAUGUGGACGUCCUGCCAUAGAAAUUCAAAACACGUCCAGAGCAAGUAUGGUGCUUGGAUGAAUAGACAAACAAUCAUUAAAAUAAAGCGACAGAAAAAAAAGACUUUUCCUUGAUUUACUUCGGGAUUCUAUUAAUUUGAAAAACGAAGAAGUUUUAUAGGGCUGCAGCAGGACGAAAUAUGUAGUAAACACUUUGUAACGAAAGACUGCCGAAACACAAUAUUGGCAAAAGAAAUUAACUUUUUGUAUAACCCAAUUCUUCUAAUCUGUUGGGAUUAACAAUAAAAACGGUAACCGACCUUAAACUGAGCAAGCUUGUUUUUGUCCAACAUUUAAUCAAACUGUAACAUCUCAAGAUCAAUGAAAUUUAUUAUCUUUUCCAUACAAAUAUAAUCGAAAAACAAAUGUUGGCAAAUUGGGAAUGAAUGCCAGGCCA